GGGUGCUUUUUGUUUUCCACUUCGCUUUCAGCUUUAUUCACCAAACAAGCAAGAUGCAAAGCAGCAGCAGCAGCAGCAGCGCAAGGGCUGUAGCUGUUGUGGCGGAUCCGUAAGCAUAGAUUCUGAUUGUGUACGACCUCGUCCCGCAGCCUCCCGGGGUUCUCUCCCUGCAGCAGUGCUGUAAGGAAGGGAGGAGACGUUUUCCAACCCCGGCAAGAGUGUUUACUUGUGUGCUAAGCAGGUGUUCAAAAUGGUAUCAAUUAGCCUAAAUGCUGAUUUUAAGUGUUCAAAUCGCUCUUAACUUUUAAAGGAGGGUGGUGUAUUUCGAGCUGACCUGUUUACCUGGAAUCCUCCUUUAGCUCAGCGACUCUCCUUGUGCACCCCCAGCCUCCGCUGGCAGGGCGGUAUGAGAAGCUGGAAGGUCCUUGACUUAGUAUAAACCCCGCUUAGCAACAACUCAAGCGUCGGUGUGUUGUCAACGUUAUUCUCAUCCUAAAUCCAAAAUGGCCCUGUACCAGCUGCUCAGAAGAAAAUUAACUUUAUUCCAGCCAAAACCAGGACAACCCCAAACCCCCCGAUUCUGGGUCUGCAACAGGGGAAAAAAAAACCAAACGAAUUUGGGACUCCUGGGAAAGCCAAAUCCGCCUGGAUCUGUGCAGCUGGAAAGGAAAAAACCCACCCCGUUUUCACGCGCAAAACCACAACCAAAAGAUCACCCCUUUUUAUGUUGUGGAAAAGCACUGAAACACACCCCAAACUGAGUAUUUUGAAAAAGCAAAAAACUUGCCAGUUUGGGGAAGAUUGGGGGUGAAGCACAGGCAGUUUGAGGGUCAUUGCUGGGGGUCCUCCCAGCGUGGAUGAUCUGGUGUGGAUUCUCUGUUACGGGUUAUCCCAGGUGAGUUACCUGCUGUGGAUCGUCCCGGGUGGACUCCCUGGGGUAGGUCAUCCCCGCCCGUGUCCCCCCAUCCACCUUUGUACCCUCACCUACCCUCCCCCCGUGUGUGUUUCUCCCCCAUGUGCCCCCCAUUGCUCCAGCCCGCCCCCUUCACCCAUGCGAGUUUUUAACCCGUGUGAGUUGUUUCCCCCCCGCAUCCCCCGCUCUCCUAUCUCCUGCCCCCCCCUCCUCCUUUCCCUCCUCCAUAUGCCACACCACCCACCCCCCCCAUCAUCUGUCAGGCUCCAGACCCCUGGCAUGCUGCCUGCACCCCAUUCUCUGUCUUUUUUUUUUUCUUCUUUUCCUUACAAGUUGUUGUUGUUGUUUCUUUUUAAUGAUUAAACUCUUUUCGUUUCCAGCCACGAGUUUUCUCACUUUGGCCCUUCCGAUUGUCUCCCCGUCCCACUGGCGGCGGGGGAGCGAGUGAGCGGUCGCGUGGGGCUUCGUUGCCGGCUGGCGUUAGACCACGACACGAGCAUCUGUUGACUGGCUACUGUCCCUCCCACAACCCUGAUGCCACGUGCAGACGGAUACAGCAGUCCCUGGGGCUUGGUCCAGGGGAACCCCCCGUCCCCCCUGCCCUUUGCAGGUUCCCUGUGCUGCUUCUCCUGUCUAGAUAAUGGGGUGGGGGGGCAGGGACAGAAGCGACCGCCCGAAUUGUCUGUUCUUUGUGCUUGACUGCUGUAACCGCUCCAGCCACUCGGGUGCUUUUUGGAAGGGAGGCAAUGAAGGUGACUGCCCGGGCUGCGAGUGGGGAAAGGGCAGGGCAAUGUAAGCCCCGUGCCUCCAGUAAGU